rnacentral:tRNA from 1 species
GUGUACAUGGUGUAAUAAACACAUUAGCUUUUCAUGCUAAAAUUAUACAAAGUAUUAUACACA